rnacentral:misc_RNA from 1 species
UUUCCGUAGGUGAACCUGCGGAAGGAUCAUUCAUAAUAAAGUGUUAUAUGGCACUUUUUAAAAAUCCAUAUCCACCUUGUGUGCAAUGUUAGAUCUCGUCAAUCUUGGCGAGAUUUUUAUACAUCAACUCGUUUUUUAACUAAUUUGUCUGAAAAAUAUUAUGAAUACUUAAUUCAAAAUACAACUUUCAACAACGGAUCUCUUGGCUCUC